CAGGGGGAGCAAAUCCCAAAAAUAAACGUCCCAGUUCGGACUGUAGUCUGCAACCCGACUACACGAAGCUGGAAUCGCUAGUAAUCGCGAAUCAGAAUGUCGCGGUGAAUACGUUCCCGGGUCUUGUACACACCGCCCGUCACACCAUGGGAGUCGGGAAUGCCCGAAGUCAGUGACCCAACCAUAUGGAGGGAGCUGCCGAAGGCAGGUCUGAUAACUGGGGUGAAGUCGUAACAAGGUACC
rnacentral:rRNA from 1 species